AUGGAGACCAGAAGCGGUCCGCCGCUGAGGCGGCGGGCUGUGAGCUAGGCUGACAGGGUUGCGGAGCCGGAGCCCCGGGGAGCGUGAAGCAGCCUGAGGCUGCCUCUCCGGCUAACCAUUCGGGGUUCGGGGCAGGCCGGAGUUCUACAGGGAGCGUCCCCGCCCCGACGCGCGGGUCCCCGCCUCCCGCGGCCGUACCGCCCCCCGGCUCCGCCCGCUCAGCCGGACUAACGGUCGGCGCGGCCUGCCACGAGGGAGCGUCCGCGGCCCGCGCAGAGCCGCGCACCAAGCGGAUGGCGUGGACGCAGCCGGGUCGGGCGGUCUGCGUGCGAGCAGGCGCGCGUGGGCGUGUCUCCCUGGCCCACGCGUGUCCCGGACAUCAGUGUCUCGGCUCUGGUCCAGGACGAAGACUUCUGAAAGCGAGCCAAGGAGAAUCACAGUUCGGAACGGAGCCCCUGACUGCCUGGUGGAAGGAGGUGAUUCAGAAGAGAGCGAGAUUCAGUGGAUGUGCCCGGGCUUCCCGAGAUGUGUUUGCAUCUGGAUGCCGAGGAUGCUGUGCACACAAGCUCUCGGGUGAUGCGGCCAUGGAGCUUGGAGGUGGCUGUCUGUGGACUAGAGUGUUCCCCAGUCACUGCAAAGGUGAAGUGCAGUAUGUCACUAGUUCUGUUGAGGAUGCUUAAUUCUACAAUGCAUUGUUGAAUAUUUGCUGCUUUAGUCAAAGGAUAGAAAAAGUAAAAUAAAUUUUAUGUUAUUUUUUUUCUAAAAUAAAAUGUCUUUAUUUGAUUGAAUGACUAUUGAUGAUUAAAAAGAGUUCUAAAAAUU